GAUGUAGCAGGCAUCUUGCAACCAUAAGAUGACAGGUGCUGUUUUUCAACCCUAAAUUUUUGAUCAAGAAUGAAACUAUUUAAAAAUUAGGAUGUCAACAGAUCACGAAGAGCCCUGUGGUCCCAAUCACAGGUCAUUUUGCCUGAAUGGAGGGAUUUGUUAAGUGAUACCUACUAUUCCCAGCCCAUUUAGUAGGUAAGUGAAAUGGACUGAGGUGGGGAAGGGUAAUUUUAUUUUUUAUCGUCUACUAACUUCUUUGAGAAGUGGUUAAUAUUGAACAA
rnacentral:lncRNA from 1 species